ACCUCCAGAUAUUUCCUGCUUUAAAUGCUGCAUGUUAUCUUCCCCCUUCUACUUCCUCCUCAUGCUGGUGGCUUAUUAGUGAUCACACACAUGCUGUCCGCUUCACACAAACACUCAUCAGCGCCUGAUGCAUACGUGCCCCGGAGAGCACACAUCCCCAUGGAAGCGACACCGGCCAACACGAGGAGACCUGCAGAUCCAACAAGCGCUGAAGCGAGGAACCCAAAGGUCUAUUCACACAUCUGCCAGCCCCUCUCUCUGAUCUAGACUCUUCUCUUAGAGUAUUUGACAGACUGUGGUUGACACUCGAUUUAAGGGGGUGUCAGUUUGUCAAAUACCCCAAGAGAGGGGGCACGAGUCUUCAAAGUUCAGCGACACCUCGUUUGCCUCAGGCAAGCUUCGUACACCCUCAUGUUCAACCGUUUGCAGCAGAGCAUGUGUAAGAUUAGCUAAUAAUGCUUGUUCAAAAUGUCUUCAGAAUGUCAGAUAAGCAGAACCACGGGAUGUCUUCAGUAUAAUCUAAUCAUUUAUAGUGUGCAUAUGUGUAUAUUGCUGCAAUCUCUCUGGAUGGAUGAACAGGUAGAUUGGAAAAAUAGAUGGAAAAAAAAAUGCCAGAAAAGUAGCAUUAAUCCGUGCAGUGCCGUCUGUAUCAGUUUUGUUACACUAAAUGUUAUAAUAUAUAUGUUAUAAUAAAGUACUCUUAAAUACAGGUACUUAAUAUUAUUUAGAUAACAAGUGUUUAGCAUGCUAAGCAUACUAAAAGCUGUUGAUGACAGUUUGAGUGCACAAGUUUCUUGCUACAAAAAAUAAUUGUGAAAUUUGUUUCAUUGUCUUUGUCUGUUGCAAUGCAUGUGGGAGUGUGAAUGCAUGUAAAUGAUAUCUUAA